CUAGUACUCCCUUCAUCCGGAAAUACUUGUCAUCAAAGUGGAUAAGAGGGGAUGUAUGUAGACGUAUUUUAAUUCUAGAUACAUCUCUUUUUAUCCAUUUUGAUAACAAGUAUUUUCAGAUGAAGGGAGUAUAUU
rfam:Triticum aestivum genome assembly, contig: Triticum_aestivum_CS42_TGACv1_scaffold_081068_1DS